ensembl:lncRNA
GUCAGUGUUGAGGCUGCAUCGGGCUUUCGCUCUACACAACAAAGGGCAAACCGCCUUGCGUCAACACGGACUUCAGGGUGAAACUCGUCCUUGAGCGUCCUCCGGUUUGCUUGUUGUCCAGAAAAGCUGAAAAGACUCGCGCAGCCCAGCCAGGGGACGCCUAAUUGUCGAUGGAAAUUAGACAACACUCGCAGACUCGUCCUCUGAAGGUGGAGCCUACAGUGUUUCAGGACCCCAUCCUGCUGGACCUGCUGGUGCAGAUGCUGAAGGAGACCCAGGAGAGCGAGGACAUGAACGUGGACAUGCUGAAGUACACUCAGAAAGAUCUGGACACUGUGCUGGAAAUGACCCGAAAACAGGCGGAGGAGAGAGAGGUGGCUCUGAAGUACACUCAGAAAGAUCUGGACACUGUGCUGGAAAUGACCCGAAAACAGGCGGAGGAGAGAGAGGUGGCUCUGAAGGUGCUGCAUGCUGAGAGAAAGGCGACUCUGGACACUCUGCAAGCUGAGAACCAUAGUCUCAGGCUGCAACUUCACAGUCUGCGCACUGAGGGACAGGCAACUCUGCACGCUCUGCGCGCUGAGAUCAAUAGGCUCAGGCGGGAUCUUCAGCACAUAAUGUAGUGUACACUAGCUGUAAACACCUGUUUAUCUGUGUUUAUUUACAGUCACAGUGUUUAACCUCAUGCUUCCUACUGUUGGAAAUAAAAUAUACAUGAAAUAAAA